AUUGAACGCUGGCGGCAGGCCUAACACAUGCAAGUCGAACGAGUGGCGGACGGGUGAGUAAUGUCUGGGAAACUGCCCGAUGGGGGGGGAUAACUACUGGAAACAGUCGCUAAUACCGCAUACUCUCGGAUGUGCCCAGAUGGGAUGAGCUAGUAGGUGGGGGAAUGGCUCACCUAGGCGACGACCCCUCGCUGGUCUGAGAGGAUGACGAGCAACACUGGAACUGAGACACGGUCCAGACGCCUACGGGAGGCAGAAGUGGGGAAGAUGGCACAAGGGGCGAAAGCCUGAGGCAGACAUGCCGCGUGUAGGAAGAAGGCCUUCGGGUUGUAAAGUACUUUCAGCGAGGAGGCGUUACUCGCAGAAGAAGCACCGGCUAACUCCGUGCCAGCAGCCGCGGUAAUAC
rnacentral:rRNA from 1 species